rnacentral:rRNA from 1 species
AUUGAACGCUGGCGGCAGGCCUAACACAUGCAAGUCGAGCGGAGCGGCGGACGGGUGCGUAAUGCCUAGGAAUCUGCCUGGUAGCGGGGGAUAACGUUCGGAACCGGGCGCUAAUACCGCAUACUAUCCGAAGAGGCUAGGUCGGAUUAGCUAGUUGGUGGGGUAAAGGCCUACCAAGGCGACGAUCCGUAACUGGUCUGAGAGGAUGAUCAGUCACACUGGAACUGAGACACGGUCCAGACUCCUACGGGAGGCAGCAGUGGGGAAUAUUGGACAAUGGGCGAAAGCCUGAUCCAGCCAUGCCGCGUGUGUGAAGAAGGUCUUCGGAUUGUAAAGCACUUUAAGUUGGGAGGCGUUACCAACAGAAUAAGCACCGGCUAACUCCGUGCCAGCAGCCGCGGUAAUUC